GGCCUAACACAUGCAAGUCGAGGGGUAUAUUUCUUCGGAGAUAGAGACCGGCGCACGGGUGCGUAACGCGUAUGCAAUCUGCCUUUUACAGAGGGAUAGCCCAGAGAAAUUUGGAUUAAUACCUCAUAGUAUUACAGGAUGGCAUCGUCCAGUAAUUAAAGUCACAACGGUGAAAGAUGAGCAUGCGUCCCAUUAGCUAGUUGGUAAGGUAACGGCUUACCAAGGCAACGAUGGGUAGGGGUCCUGAGAGGGAGAUCCCCCACACUGGUACUGAGACACGGACCAGACUCCUACGGGAGGCAGCAGUGGGGAAUAUUGCGCAAUGGCCGAAAGGCUGACGCAGCGACGCCGCGUGUGGGAGGACGCCUUUCGGGGUGUAAACCACUGUUGCCCGGGACGAAUGACACCUUUUGAGGUGUUUGACGGUACCGGGUGAGGAAGCACCGGCUA
rnacentral:rRNA from 1 species